rnacentral:rRNA from 1 species
UGGGGAAUAUUGCACAAUGGGCGCAAGCCUGAUGCAGCCAUGCCGCGUGUAUGAAGAAGGCCUUCGGGUUGUAAAGUACUUUCAGCGGGGAGGAAGGGAGUAAAGUUAAUACCUUUGCUCAUUGACGUUACCCGCAGAAGAAGCACCGGCUAACUCCGUGCCAGCAGCCGCGGUAAUACGGAGGGUGCAAGCGUUAAUCGGAAUUACUGGGCGUAAAGCGCACGCAGGCGGUUGAUUGAGUCAGAUGUGAAAUCCCCGGGCUUAACCCGGGAAUUGCAUCUGAUACUGGUCAGCUAGAGUCUUGUAGAGGGGGGGAGAAUUCCAUGUGUAGCGGGGAAAUGCGUAGAGAUGUGGAGGAAUACCGGUGGCGAGGGCGGCCCCCUGGACAGAGACUGACGCUCAGGUGCGAAAGCGUGGGGAGCAAACAGG